GUCCCUGUAACGCAAUGGACAGCACGUUGGACUUGUAAUCCAAAGGUCGUGGGUUCGAAUCCCGCUUGGGAUG